rnacentral:tRNA from 1 species
GGAAUAGUUUACAUUGGAAAGUUAAAACGAUUGCUAAUUGUUCGGGUUACUCCUUAGGUGUUCGAAUCACCUCUAUUCCG